AGCAGCCGCGGUAAUUCCAGCUCCAAUAGCGUAUAUUAAAGUUGUUGCAGUUAAAAAGCUCGUAGUUGAAUUUCGAGAUCAAAUUGUUGGUCGUGCCUUGGUACGCACUGGCAUUAUUGGUUUCUCCCUUCUGACGAAUCAUGAUGUCAUUAAUUUGGUGUCUUGGGGAAUCAGGACUGUUACUUUGAAAAAAAUUUAGAGUGUUUAAAGCAGGCUUACGCUUGAAUACAUUAGCAUGGAAUAAUGAAAUAGGACGUUUGAUUCUAUUUUGUUGGUUUCUAGGAUCGACGUAAUGAUUAAUAGGGAUAGUUGGGGGCAUUAGUAUUCAAUUGUCAGAGGUGAAAUUCUUGGAUUUAUUGAAGACUAACUACUGCGAAAGCAUUUGCCAAGGAUGUUUUCAUUAAUCAAGAACGAAAGUUAGGGGAUCGAAGACGAUCAGAUACCGUCGUAGUCUUAACCAUAAACUAUGCCGACUAGGGAUCGGAUGAUGUUAAUUUUUUUAAUGACUCAUUCGGCGCCU
rnacentral:misc_RNA from 1 species